rnacentral:rRNA from 1 species
CCUACGGGUGGCAGCAGUGAGGAAUAUUGGUCAAUGGGCGGGAGCCUGAACCAGCCAAGCCGCGUGAGGGAAGAAGGUACAGCGUAUCGUAAACCUCUUUUGUCAGGGAACAAAGGCAGGGACUAGUCCCGGAUGAGGGUACCUGAAGAAAAAGCAUCGGCUAACUCCGUGCCAGCAGCCGCGGUAAUACGUAGGGUGCGAGCGUUAAUCGGAAUUACUGGGCGUAAAGGGUGUGCAGGCGGUUAUGCAAGAUGGAUGUGAAAGCCCCGGGCUUAACCUGGGAAAGCCAUACAUGACUGCAAGACUAGAGUGCGUCAGAGGGGGGUGGAAUGCCAAGUGUAGCAGUGAAAUGCGUAGAUAUUUGGAAGAACACCGAUGGCGAAGGCAGCCCCCUGGGACGCAACUGACGCUCAUACACGAAAGCGUGGGGAGCAAACAGGAUUAGAUACCCUUGUAGUC